rnacentral:lncRNA from 1 species
UUUAUCAUACACAGUUUAUUCUUUGUUGUGAGUUUUGUCAUGCAUGUGGUGAUCUUCUAGAACUUGCCAUGGUUUCUGUGUUGAGGUUGCUGUUGUGCCCAGGAUUAGGAGAUGAUUUUAGGCUAUCUUUUGUUAGCCACAUUAUUUUCCCAAACACUGUCCUUGAAAAAAUUAUCCUUUGUUAUCCACUUUGAGCCUAAUUAGCUUUUAUUCUUUAGCCGGAUGAUAGGGGGUGAUGUAGUAUAUGGGGAUCCUUAUGUGGUGAAUAUCAUAGUGGUUCAUGAAAAAGAAGGGAUGAUAUUGUGAUACUAUUUACUCUUAUAAGCUCUAGAAAAGUUGUGGAAAGAAAAGAAAAAAAAAAGAAAGAAAAAAAGAAAAAGAAAAAGAAAAAAAAGUGAAGUCGAGUGUAUAUUGAGAUAUUUGUUUGAAAAUCGACUUUAUGUGUUGGAAAUAAAUGGAGAGCAUAAAAGAGUGUUUAGUUCUGUUUUGUGAUGAUUAAAUCCCUUGAGUUUUGUUGAUUAUGGUGAUAUAGUUGGGUGGAAGAUGGAAUUUAUUCCAUACUUGAUUUGUGAAGCUAUAAGGUUGGUGUUAUUAAAUUAUUUUAAGUCACUUAACCUAUAUUUCCCUACCUUAACCAAUGUCCCUACAUUAUAACCCG